UGGUGGAGUGAUUUGUCUGGUUAAUUCCGAUAACGAACGAGACCUCGACCUGCUAAAUAGUACGUCUAAUCAUUUUUGAUUGGGUUCGCACUUCUUAGAGGGACUAUUCGGUGUAUUUAGCCAAUGGAAGUUUGAGGCAAUAACA
rnacentral:rRNA from 1 species